rnacentral:rRNA from 1 species
UACGGAGGGUGCGAGCGUUGUCCGGAAUCACUGGGCGUAAAGGGCGCGUAGGCGGCCGUGUAAGUCACUUGUGAAAUCCCGGGGCUCAACUCCGGGGCUGCAGGUGAGACUGCGUGGCUAGAGCACGGUAGAGGCGAGUGGAAUUCCCGGUGUAGCGGUGGAAUGCGUAGAUAUCGAGAGGAACACCUGCGGCGAAGGCGGGUUGCUGGGCUGACACUGACGCUGAGGCGCGAAAGCCAGGGGAGCGAACGGG